rnacentral:rRNA from 1 species
AGGAUGAACGCUGGCGGUGUGCCUAAUACAUGCAAGUCGAACGGGAUCUUCGGAUCUAGUGGCGGACGGGUGAGUAACACGUUGGUACCUACCCCUAAGUGGGGAAUAACUGCCCGAAAGGGUGGCUAAUACCGCAUAAUCCCGCAAGGGUAAAGCAGUAAUGCGCUUAGGGAGGGGCCUGCGUCUGAUUAGCUAGUUGGUAGGGUAAUGGCCUACCAAGGCGACGAUCAGUAGCUGGAUCGAGAGGUUGACCAGCCACACUGGGACUGAGAUACGGCCCAGACUCCUACGGGAGGCAGCAGUAAGGAAUCUUCCACAAUGGACGAAAGUCUGAUGGAGCAACACCGCGUGCAGGAUGACGGUCUUCGGAUUGUAAACUGCUUUUAUAUGGGAAGAUUAUGACGGUACCAUAUGAAUAAGGACCGGCUAACUACGCGCCAGCAGCCGC